rnacentral:lncRNA from 1 species
AUGAAAAGGGCACCUGUACUCAGAUUCGCUCUCUGGAUGAGAAGCAGGUCUGUAGACAGGCUGGAAUUCUUGCGGCAGAGAGUCAGGCCAGGGGGGCACACGAAUGGUGGAUUUGGGGACUGUGUGGAGGGGGGUCCUCUUGGCUUCGACACCUUUCAGCAAGGAGACCCUUCUUGCCUCAGGCUCCUGAGGGACGGAUCCCCUUGGAGCCGGUUCGAGCCGGGCUUGGAGGGAACUUUUUCUCUGUUCGGCGGUGGAAAGGGGUUGCUGGCCAGGUGGCUCAUGCCCCAGGGAGAGAGCCCGCUUCCAAGCAUCCUCCAUCUCCUGGUGGAUUGGGCAGCGAUACUCAGAUUCAUACACAGGGUGGAGGGAAGGCCUGUAAAUGCCCUGGGUUGGUUCAGACCUUGCCUGGAGGGAGGUCCGCUUCACGUCUGGCUCCCUGGGAGGAGAGCUCCUUCGGCGGGUGAGUUCAGGGGGUGGUUCAAGUGUGCCCCGCCUCGGAUCUGGCUCCCUGGGAGGAGAGCUCUUCCGGCGGGUGGGUUCUUGAGGGGGCUCAUGGGUGCCUCGCCUUGCGUCUGGCUCCCUGGGAGGAGAGCUCCUUCGGCGGGUGGGUUCAGGGGGCGGUUCAAGGGUGGCCCGCCUCAUGUCUGGCUCCCUGGGAGGAGAGCUCCUUCGGCGGGUGGGUUCAGGGGGCGGUUCAGGGGUGGCCCGCCUCGUGUCUGGCUCCCUGGGAGGAGAGCUCUUCCGGCGGGUGGGUUCAGGGGGUGGUUCAGGGGUGGCCCACCUCAUGUCUGGCUCCCUGGGAAGAGAGCUCCUUCGGCGGGUGGGUUCAGGGGGCGGUUCAGGGGUGGCCCGCCUCGUGUCUGGCUCCCUGGGAGGAGAGCUCUUCCGGCGGGUGGGUUCAGAGUGCGGUUCAAGAGAGCUCCUCCUUGCUUCAGCCUCUGUGGGGAGAGGAAGGGCCAACCACACCUCUGCUUGAGGAGAGUCGCUCUUUGGGAAAACAGAGACCUUGUAGGCCGGCUCCGUCUGGGUCCACUCAUCCUUGGGGUUGGGGACGUGUUUGCGGAUGAGUUUCCGAGGUGGCUGGCAGGUGUCCUGUGGUCCCAAUUCCAGUGCCAGCUGAGGAAACGCCUUGGGCACCUGAAAGGAUUCCCUCCUUGGGGGAUUUACUUGUGCAGAAUCCUCCUUGGGGCUUGCCAUAGGCCUCAGAUAGCUCUGGGUUGUCACCUGGGGCAAGUCACUUGGAUUUGGGGAGAUGGGGGUGCAUCUGUUGUCUACUUGGGUUCUCCCUAUUCUGGAUGCAGCCCGGGACCUCUGGUAGAUUUCCUCCCGUUGAGAAUUGAGGCUCUGUUGCAUCGCCAUCAGCAUCUGACUGUUCGUCAUGGUGAGCUGCCCCGGCUGGAUGGAACACUUGCCGCACCGGUAGUCCACCACCGGCUGAGGGGAGAUGUUCCGGAUGGACGUCCUCCCUCUCUGCGGAGGACCCCCGAAGGAGAGCUCGUUUUCUUCCUGACACCCUGA